UGGGGAAUAUUGGACAAUGGAGGAAACUCUGAUCCAGCAAUUCUGUGUGUGUGAAGAAGGUUUUAGGACUGUAAAACACUUUUAGUAGGGAAGAAAAAAAUGACGGUACCUACAGAAGAAGCAACGGCUAAAUACGUGCCAGCAGCCGCGGUAAUACGUAUGUUGCGAGCGUUAUCCGGAAUUAUUGGGCUUAAAGGGCAUCUAGGCGGUAAGACAAGUUGAAGGUGAAAACCUGUGGCUCAACCAUAGGCUUGCCUACAAAACUGUUGAACUAGAGUACUGGAAAGGUGGGUGGAACUAAACGAGUAGAGGUGAAAUUCGUAGAUAUGUGUAGGAAUGCCGAUGAUGAAGAUAACUCACUGGGCAGAAACUGACGCUGAAGUGCGAAAGCGAGGGGAGCAAACAGG
rnacentral:rRNA from 1 species